rnacentral:rRNA from 1 species
AACGAACGCUGGCGGCAGGCCUAACACAUGCAAGUCGAACGCCCGUAGCAAUACGGGAGUGGCAGACGGGUGAGUAACGCGUGGGAACGUGCCCUUCGGUUCGGAAUAACUCAGGGAAACUUGAGCUAAUACCGGAUACGUCCGUAAGGAGAAAGAUUUAUCGCCGAAGGAUCGGCCCGCGUCGGAUUAGCUAGUUGGUGAGGUAAUGGCUCACCAAGGCGACGAUCCGUAGCUGGUCNGAGAGGAUGAUCAGCCACAC